UAGGGAAUUUUCCGCAAUGGGCGCAAGCCUGACGGAGCAACGCCGCGUGAGUGAAGACGGUCUUCGGAUUGUAAAGCUCUGCUCUCAAGAAUGAAAUCACAUUAGUCGAAGAGAUUAAAGUGUUGACAGUACUUGAGGAGAAAGCCCCGGCUAACUACGUGCCAGCAGCCGCGGUAAUACGUAGGGGGCGAGCGUUGUCCGGAAUUAUUGGGCGUAAAGAGCGCGUAGGCGGCUUCUUAAGUCAGGUGUUAAAGGCAUUGGCUCAACCAAUGUACGCACCUGAAACUGGGGAGCUUGAGUGCAGGAGAGGGGAGUGGAAUUCCCGGUGUAGCGGUGGAAUGCGUAGAGAUCGGGAGGAACACCAGUGGCGAAGGCGGCUCUCUGGCCUGUGACUGACGCUGAGGCGCGAAAGCGUGGGGAGCAAA
rnacentral:rRNA from 1 species